rnacentral:rRNA from 1 species
UACGUAGGGCGCAAGCGUUAUCCGGAAUUAUUGGGCGUAAAGAGCUCGUAGGCGGUUUGUCGCGUCUGCCGUGAAAGUCCGGGGCUUAACUCCGGAUCUGCGGUGGGUACGGGCAGACUAGAGUGCAGUAGGGGAGACUGGAAUUCCUGGUGUAGCGAUGAAAUGCGCAGAUAUCAGGAGGAACACCGAUGGCGAAGGCAGGUCUCUGGGCUGUAACUGACGCUGAGGAGCGAAAGUAUGGGGAGCGAACAGG